rnacentral:rRNA from 1 species
GACGAACGCUGGCGGCGUGCUUAACACAUGCAAGUCGAACGGAAAGGCCCUGCUUUUGUGGGGUGCUCGAGUGGCGAACGGGUGAGUAACACGUGAGUAACCUGCCCUUGACUUUGGGAUAACUUCAGGAAACUGGGGCUAAUACCGGAUAGGAGCUCCUGCUGCAUGGUGGGGGUUGGAAAGUUUCGGCGGUUGGGGAUGGACUCGGGGCUUAUCAGCUUGUUGGUGGGGUAGUGGCUUACCAAGGCUUUGACGGGUAGCCUGCAUGAGAGGGUGACCGGCCACAAUGGGACUGAGGUACGGCCCAGACUCCUACGGGAGGCAGCAGUGGGGAAUAUUGCACAAUGGUCGGAAGCCUGAUGCAGCAACGCCGCGUGCGGGAUGACGGCCUUCGGGUUGUAAACCGCUUUCGCCUGUGACGAAGCGUGAGUGACGGUAAUGGGUAAAGAAGCACCGGCUAACUACGUG